CUUGAGGAUCUACUUACUCAUCUCAAGAAUCUGUACCGGUUCUUGGAAUCAUUUUUUCUUUUCUGUUCAUUUACAGUAAUAAAUUAAAGUAGAAAUAAUACAAUUCUGCAGAAAAUAAAAGUAGUGAUUAGUAGAGCGACAAAACAGCUGUUUUACCUGCAAACCAUUUAGUUAUGAAAAUUGGAUUUACACUGAUACCUCCAAGUUCUAGUGUUAUGUCUUUAGAAGUUUUUUAAUAAAAAUAACAUACUAUAAAAUUCAAACAAAGCUCAAUUUCAGCCUCUUUUGAGUUCCCCAAUAACAGUAGCCAGAAAUCACGUGCUCAAAUCACAUGACCACCAUCUCUCCAAAAUUUUCAAGCAUUUACAUGAGUGUGCGUAUGUGUGGAUCCUUUGCCUCGACUCUCUACAUAUGAAUUUAUAUGAAUUUAUAGAAUAUCAUUGAGUAGAUGAUCAAGAUUAAGAUAAGUAUAGCAGCAGUCAAAGUAAGAUCACGUGAUCAGAUCCCCAAAACAAUGUGUUCCAACACGAAAUAUCUUAUUCUAUAAAGCACUAAACUACAGAAGUCUCUCGUCUCUCUCACUUUCUCUUAACUCGCAUCUCAAUCCACGUUUCAGUUCUCAAUAAACAGAACAUACCAAAAACAACUCAAAGAGCUUUUAAGAUUCCUAGGGAACUAUAAGAAGAAAAGUCCGCAAUGAAGAGAUACUUGUCAGUGGCUCUGGUUCUGCUACUUAUAGCUUUCUUUAGCAGCAAGUACAGCGUAGAGGGACGUUCUCUGUCAAGGAUGAAAAAUUCUAGUCAAGCAAUGAGAGAUUUUCAAACAAGGAAGGACAUGAAGGAAGCAAAACCGCUUGUAGGUGAAAAUGAUAGCCUCCGAAGAAGAGUCCCAAGGAGUGGCUCAAACCCUAUACAGAACAAAGUGUUUCUCUUUUGUAUCAAAUGUAAUCCACCAAUAGUUGUUGAAGGAAGUAGGAAACAACAGAUCACAACGGCAAGAAAACCUUAAAUUUUUUAGUACUUUUGCCUUUUUUUCUGGUCUUUUCUUUUUCCUUCUUAGAUCUUUCUUUGUUGUAGAAUAGGUAACUAUGUAAUCUACUUGUAAUAUAUGAACUCAUCUUUUAAUU